rnacentral:misc_RNA from 1 species
AAGGAUCAUUAUCGAUUCAAACUAAUGAGGGGGAGAGUUGUCUGUAGCUGUGCUGGCUUUUAACCAAGGCAAUGUGCACGCUUGGCUUCUCUCUUUCUUCAUUUUACACACCUGUGAACCUGUAGUAGGGCAUCUCGCAAGAGGUGCACUAUGUCUUCUCACAUACUCCAUCACUAGUUUAUAGAAUGUACCCUUUUGUUCUCGUCAGAGACAAAAAGAAAGCUUUUAUAACUUUCAGCAACGGAUCUCUUGGCUCUC